AUGUACCUCGCUUACAAAGCGGUUCCUAUGGGCCGUCCACGCCCACCUGACGACUGCUCGCCAGGUUUUGGCUAGCG
rnacentral:sRNA from 1 species